rnacentral:lncRNA from 13 species
CCAUUAAAUGAGAUAAGGCACAGCAAGAGAAAGGCAAGGAAUGUAAUGCAUUCAGUUUCAGACAAAUGAACUCAAGAUGCCUGCAGGACAUUCAAUUAAAGGGGAUGUUCCUGCGUGUGCUGUAUUGCCUGCCGCUACAUAAGACGUGACUUAGCUCCUUAUCAUUCACCUUCCUCCAUGAUUGUGAGACCUCACCAGCCAUGUGAAACUCUCCCCAUGCCCCACCCCCUUGUAACUACCAUUCUACUCUCUGCCUGUAUGAGUUGACAUCUAACUGCAAUUUGGAGCUUCAGUUUUAUCUGUAAAAUGAGAAUGACUCAGCACAGGACUCAAGAUGGCGCUGUGAGAACAACCCAG